rnacentral:rRNA from 1 species
UCAGUUCGGAUUGCAGGCUGCAACUCGCCUGCAUGAAGCUGGAAUUGCUAGUAAUCGCGGAUCAGCAAGCCGCGGUGAAUACGUUCCCGGGCCUUGUACACACCGCCCGUCACACCAUGAGAGUCGGGAACACCCGAAGUCCGUAGUCUAACCGCAAGGGGGGCGCGGCCGAAGGUGGGUCCGGUAAUUGGGGUGAAGUCGUAACAAGGUAGC